rnacentral:lncRNA from 1 species
UAUGCAUUUCAGAAUUUGAGGUUUAAUUUUCAUUGUUAUUCAUUGGACUACAACAACCAAAGCCUUUUCCAACUAGAUGGAGUUGAUUGCAUGAAUCAAAAAAACAUGAUUAAGUUCUCUUAUUAUAAAGCAAUUCCAUAAAUCAAGCUAAUCCAUCAUGUCACAGAAACACUGAGGUCCGUUAAACUUUCCUAAAAAUCUCAAUAUCUUAUAUCAAUAACACAGGAGAAAGGGGCAAAGUUCUCUUAUAUCUAUCAUGCAUACUCUUACUAAAUUGUCUGAAGCACAAUACUUUUUUUUUUAGAAACAGCAAAAAAUUUAUUCAAAAGAGGCACUUGAGUACAAGAGAUACACAAGGAGCACAAGGCAGGAGCCAAAAAGAGCCCACCUGAAAAACAAAAGCAACACCAACAAGGCAAAAAAACUCCACCCAAAACAAAAGCAAAAACCAGAAACUACGGAGGAAUAAAAAGAGACCAAGAAAACUCCAGUAGCAGCAACACAACCUCAGCCACACACCAUGGAACAAAAGAUGAAUACAAGAAGACUCACCAUGGAACACGAGGAAAAGAAUGAACAGAUUGGGAGGGAUAAUAACAUCCAAAUUCAGCCACACACCAACCUCCCUCCACACUUUCUGAGCAAAAUUACAGUGGAGCAAAAGAUGAAUACAAGACUCAGCUUUAUCCACACACCACAAACAGUCUUGAUUACCAGCAAGAUGCAACAGCCUUCUCCUNNNNNNNNNNNNNNNNNNNNNNNNNNNNNNNNAGAUCUAUAUGAAAGUGUGAUAAUAAACAUGGAUAAUAAAGGAGAAAGGGGCAAGGAACAAAGAAUAUAAACAAAUGUUUCAAAUAAACUUACACUUUGCUGAAAAGGUAUGCCCUCCCUCGACCGCAGGAGUGAAAUUUGUUGGAACGAAGCUUGAGGGCAGGAGUUAAGGUUGAACGAAUUCGAAAAAACGUUGGAAUGAAGAAGAUGAAUUCGUCGUUGUUCAUUACGUGGCGGGUGGAGCACUCUAGGCGGCGGGUUACCAGNNNNNGACAACUUCUUUCUCCCUUGCCUUGCUUGCUCCAUUUUCCUUUUUCUAAUUAAAAGUAGCAAGUCACGUUGGUGGAUUGCUUGAUAGCAUAGAUGGAAUUUGACAAGAAGAUGGAAUUAAGCUUAAAUUUGUCCUGGGUUGAUACAGAUAUUGAGAAAUUGAUACAUAUAUUGAGAUGGUUUUUUAAUUUGGGAUUUAGGGUUUUCUUGAUGCUACAUAGAAAAUGGAUGUUAUCACAUAUUAUUUAGGGAUUUAUGCAUGAUUUUUUUUAAUUGAAAUAUUGAUGGUUUUUUUUAGGGAUGAUUUUUUUUAAUUGAAAUAAAUUAUUUUUUUUGUUUGUAAUUUGUAAAUGAAUAUUUACUUGAUGGGGGACUCAUAUGCAAUAAAUAAAAGUUUGUUAAAAAA